UACGUAGGGUGCAAGCGUUGUCCGGAAUUAUUGGGCGUAAAGAGCUCGUAGGCGGUCUGUCGCGUCUGCUGUGAAAACUCAGGGCUUAACCCUGAGCUUGCAGUGGGUACGGGCAGACUGGAGUGCGGUAGGGGAGACUGGAAUUCCUGGUGUAGCGGUGAAAUGCGCAGAUAUCAGGAGGAACACCGGUGGCGAAGGCGGGUCUCUGGGCCGUAACUGACGCUGAGGAGCGAAAGCAUGGGGAGCGAACAGG
rnacentral:rRNA from 1 species